rnacentral:rRNA from 1 species
AUACGUCCUACGGGAGAAAGCAGGGGACCUUCGGGCCUUGCGCUAUCAGAUGAGCCUGGGUCGGAUUAGCUAGUUGGUGAGGUAAUGGCUCACCAAGGCGACGAUCCGUAACUGGUCUGAGAGGAUGACCAGCCACACUGGAACUGAGACACGGUCCAGACUCCUACGGGAGGCAGCAGUGGGGAAUUUUGGACAAUGGGCGAAAGCCUGAUCCAGCAAUGCCGCGUGAGUGAAGAAGGCCUUCGGGUUGUAAAGCUCUUUUGUCAGGGAAGAAACGGCGCCGGCUAAUAUCCGGCGCUAAUGACGGUACCUGAAGAAUAAGCACCGGCUAACUACGUGCCAGCAGCCGCGGUAAUACGUAGGGUGCGAGCGUUAAUCGGAAUUACUGGGCGUAAAGCGUGCGCAGGCGGUUUUGUAAGUCUGUCGUGAAAUCCCCGGGCUUAACCUGGGAAUUGCGAUGGAGACUGCAAGGCUAGAAUCUGGCAGAGGGGGGUAGAAUUCCACGUGUAGCAGUGAAAUGCGUAGAGAUGUGGAGGAACACCGAUGGCGAAGGCAGCCCCCUGGGUCAAGAUUGACGCUCAUGCACGAAAGCGUGGGGAGCAAACAGGAUUAGAUACCCUGGUAGUCCACGCCCUAAACGAUGUCUACUAGUUGUCGGGUCUUAAUUGACUUGGUAACGCAGCUAACGCGUGAAGUAGACCGCCUGGGGAGUACGGUCGCAAGAUUAAAACUCAAAGGAAUUGACGGGACCCGCACAAGCGUGGAUGAUGUGAUUAUCGAUGCAACGCGAAAACUUACUA